AUGGGCGUGGCUUGAUAGGAAAGCAGCGGUCUCCAAAGCCGCCACACGCAGGUUCGAAUCCUGCCGCCCGUG
rnacentral:tRNA from 1 species